rnacentral:rRNA from 1 species
GACGAACGCUGGCGGCGUGCUUAACACAUGCAAGUCGAACGGAAAGGCCCUGCUUGCAGGGUACUCGAGUGGCGAACGGGUGAGUAACACGUGGGUGAUCUGCCCUGCACUUCGGGAUAAGCCUGGGAAACUGGGUCUAAUACCGGAUAGGAGCCAUUUUUAGUGUGAUGGUUGGAAAGUUUUUUCGGUGUAGGAUGAGCUCGCGGCCUAUCAGCUUGUUGGUGGGGUAAUGGCCUACCAAGGCGGCGAGGGGUAGCCGGCCUGAGAGGGUGGACGGCCACAUUGGGACUGAGAUACGGCCCAGACUCGUGCGGGAGGCAGCAGUGGGGAAUAUUGCACCAUGGGCGCGAGCCUGAGGCAGCGAGGCCGCGUGGGGGAUGACGGCCUUCGGGUUGUAAGCUCCUUUCGCUAGGGACGAAGCUUUUUGUGACGGUACCUAGAUAAGAAGCACCGGCUAACUACGUG